rnacentral:rRNA from 1 species
AGUGAACGCUGGCGGUAGGCCUAACACAUGCAAGUCGAACGGCAGCACAGUAAGAGCUUGCUCUUACGGGUGGCGAGUGGCGGACGGGUGAGGAAUACAUCGGAAUCUACUUUUUCGUGGGGGAUAGCGUAGGGAAACUUACGCUAAUACCGCAUACGACCUACGGGUGAAAGCAGGGGAUCUUCGGACCUUGCGCGAUUGAAUGAGCCGAUGUCGGAUUAGCUAGUUGGCGGGGUAAAGGCCCACCAAGGCGACGAUCCGUAGCUGGUCUGAGAGGAUGAUCAGACACACUGGAACUGAGACACGGUCCAGACUCCUACGGGAGGCAGCAGUGGGGAAUAUUGGACAAUGGGCGCAAGCCUGAUCCAGCCAUACCGCGUGGGUGAAGAAGGCCUUCGGGUUGUAAAGCCCUUUUGUUGGGAAAGAAAAGCAGCAGGUUAAUACCCCGCUGUUCUGACGGUACCCAAAGAAUAAGCACCGGCUAACUUCGUG